UACGAAGGGGGCUAGCGUUGUUCGGAAUUACUGGGCGUAAAGCGCGCGUAGGCGGUUUUGCAAGCCAGAGGUGAAAUGCCUGAGCUCAACUUAGGAAUUGCCUUUGGGACUGCGAGGCUUUGAGGACUGGAGAGGUGAGUGGAAUUCCCAGUGUAGAGGUGAAAUUCGUAGAUAUUGGGAAGAACACCAGUGGCGAAGGCGGCUCACUGGCCAGUUUCUGACGCUGCAGCGCGAAAGCGUGGGGAUCAAA
rnacentral:rRNA from 1 species